AUUGAACGCUGGCGGAAUGCUUUACACAUGCAAGUCGAACGGUAGCAGGGGCUUCGGCCCGCUGACGAGUGGCGAACGGGUGAGUAAUACAUCGGAACGUGCCUAGAUGUGGGGGAUAGCCCGGCGAAAGCCGGAUUAAUACCGCAUACGAUCUUUGGAUGAAAGCGGGGGAUCGCAAGACCUCGCGCGAAUGGAGCGGCCGAUGUCAGAUUAGGUAGUUGGUGGGGUAAAGGCUCACCAAGCCGACGAUCUGUAGCUGGUCUGAGAGGACGACCAGCCACACUGGGACUGAGACACGGCCCAGACUCCUACGGGAGGCAGCAGUGGGGAAUUUUGGACAAUGGGCGCAAGCCUGAUCCAGCCAUUCCGCGUGCAGGAUGAAGGCCUUCGGUUGUAAACUGCUUUGUACGGAACGAAACGGUUCUCUCUAAUACAGGGGCGUAAUGACGGUACCGUAAGAAUAAGCACCGGCUAACUACGUGCCAGCAGCCGCGGU
rnacentral:rRNA from 1 species